rnacentral:rRNA from 1 species
GACGAGCGCUGGCGGCGUGCCUAAUACAUGCAAGUUGAGCGCUGAAGGUUGGUACUUGUACCAACUGGAUGAGCAGCGAACAGGUGAGUAACGCGUGGGGAAUCUGCCUUUGAGCGGGGGACAACAUUUGGAAACGAAUGCUAAUACCGCAUAAAAACUUUAAACACAAGUUUUAAGUUUGAAAGAUGCAAUUGCAUCACUCAAAGAUGAUCCCGCGUUGUAUUAGCUAGUUGGUGAGGUAAAGGCUCACCAAGGCGAUGAUACAUAGCCGACCUGAGAGGGUGGUCGGCCACAUUGGGACUGAGACACGGCCCAAACUCCGACGGGAGGCAGCAGUAGGGGAUCUUCGGCAAUGGACGAAAGUCUGACCGAGCAACGCCGCGUGAGUGAAGAAGGUUUUCGGAUCGUAAAACUCUGUUGGUAGAGAAGAACGUUGGUGAGAGUGGAAAGCUCAUCAAGUGACGGUAACUACCCAGAAAGGGACGGCUAACUACGUG